AUACUCUGGUUUCUCUUCAGAUCAUAUAAAUCUUUUGCCUUUUACUAAAGACUUCUGUGGAGAGAUUCUUUAAAGCCUUUAGAGCUCACCUCUCUGAUGAGCA
rnacentral:snRNA from 1 species